rnacentral:rRNA from 1 species
GUGGGGAAUCUUGCGCAAUGGGCGAAAGCCUGACGCAGCCAUGCCGCGUGAAUGAUGAAGGUCUUAGGAUUGUAAAAUUCUUUCACCGGGGACGAUAAUGACGGUACCCGGAGAAGAAGCUCCGGCUAACUUCGUGCCAGCAGCCGCGGUAAUACGAAGGGGGCUAGCGUUGCUCGGAUUUACUGGGCGUAAAGGGCGCGUAGGCGGACAUUUAAGUCAGGGGUGAAAUCCCGGGGCUCAACCUCGGAACUGCCUUUGAUACUGGGUGUCUUGAGUAUGAGAGAGGUGUGUGGAACUCCGAGUGUAGAGGUGAAAUUCGUAGAUAUUCGGAAGAACACCAGUGGCGAAGGCGACACACUGGCUCAUUACUGACGCUGAGGCGCGAAAGCGUGGGGAGCAAACAGGAUUAGAAACCCCAGUAGUCC